ensembl:lncRNA
AUAGUUCAUGCUUGCUUCAGCCUUCAUAGCAAUUGUCUCGGGGUGGUCUGAUGAUGGAAGGUCCGCUGGGGACUUUCCGGCCAUUUUCUGUAGAAAAGAAACAUUACAAUUGGAUGUUAACGCUGGUAUACAUACAGCUUUAUGCUGUAUGUACAAUAUAUAACGCGCGAAGAGAAAUACAAAUCCUUUCUGUACGGCUUUCGAGUGUGCGGGAGCGAUGCAUGUAGGGAAUUUGGAUUUAGGCUAUUAUUCAAAGCCACAAUCCAAAUUAUUAUUACACAAUCCAAACAUUGACGGAUGUCCAAAACGGGAAGACUGAAUUGCUUGUUUUGAUUGCGUUUGAUAGAACCGCAGUGUAUGCCGUGAAAAGGGGACGCGAUUUCAAAUAAAACCAUACACGGAGUUCUCUGCCUCUCUGUCCAUUGUUUGAUUUGAAAUUCGCGGGCUUUUCCCGGCAUACAUUAAGGUUGUAUCGGUAUUAUUUCAAUUCUUACAGAAAUUGCAAUCUUACCUUUUGAGAACAAAAAAGCUGAGACGAGGCGAGUCGAGACGAGGCGGGUGGAGACGGGACGAGGCGGGACGAGGCGGGACGAAGCGGGACGAGGCGAGGCGAGGCGAGGCGAGGCGAGGCGAGGCGAGGCGAGGCGAGGCGAGGCGAGGCGAGGCGAGAAGAGUGUAGGGGUGAUGUCCAGAAGAUUGCUCAGGGCAAGUGAUGUUUUACACAGUGCUCUCCUGACUAUAUGUUCAGGUGUGGGCGUGGUUCAGGUGUGGGCGUGGUGUGCGUGACGAGGUACACGCUGUAGGCUAGCUAUUAUUCAAAGCCACAAUCCAAAUCAUGCAAUCAAGGUAUUUCCGAAUCCGUGCAUGGUUUGUUACAUUGGAAUAUUCAUACGGAAUACCAACUGUAUUAUUCAGUCUUCCCGGUUUGGACAUCCGUCAAUCUUAUCUUUUUUACUUUGGCGAGCAAGAAGUCAGGAGUUGUCGUCCAGUAUGAAGAGCAGAGAAACACAUCUACAACAUCUGUACAGGUGUGGGCGUGGCAUACUCCCAUGGUGCUUCGCGAGUUGCACACAGGGAAUGACUCUCGUCAGCAACGACGCACUCCAGCGAUUUAUACAAUAUAAACACAUUAUAUAAAGCAAAACCCCUCUUUCAUUUUAAAAUAGUAUGUAAAUAAUAGGCCUCCAUCUUUGUUAUACUUUUAAAAUGUCCCUAUAUAGCCUAUUUUAUAGCUUUUACACUGAUAUUAUCAAACAGGAAUGUGAAAUGCAUCCUGGGAUAUUUGGCGGUCCCAACGCAGGCACACCAGUACAGAAAAGAACGCGAAUUGAGAAACAUUCCUUUUUACAUGGGCAAUUUGUGUAAAUAUGAAACAAUAUCAGAUGUUUUUGAGUUUGCGAUGGGUUUCCUCCAGCAAUUUAUACAAUAUAAACGCGUUAUAUAAAGCGAAACCCCUCUUUCUUUUUAAAAUAGUAUGUAAAUAAUAUGCCUCCAUCUUUGUUAUACUUUUAAAAUGUCCCUAUAUAGCCUAUUUUAUAGCUUUUACACUGAUGUUUUAAAACGGGAAUGCGAAAUGCAUCCUGGGAUAUUUGACGGUCCCAGUCAGGAGAUGUCGUCCAGUAUGAAGAGCAGAGAAACGCAUCUACAACAUCUGUAGAGGUGUGGGCGUGGCAUACUCCCAUUGUGCUUAGCGAGUUGAAUGACUUUCGUCAGCGACGCACGGCUCGCCUCACUCUGAUCGGAUUUUCUCUGCUUGAGACAUCUUUGUUCAGAUAGACCCUUUUGCUCUCCUUUCCACGGAUUAAUAUUGUGUGCGGAUUCAUUCGAGUCUGUUCUGUCUUUCAACUUUGCG